AUUCCUUUUAUCUAAAAAAAUAAAAAAUGGGAAUAUUACGAAGCAAUCGUCUCCGAAUUCUCACAAGCACCAGCUCAAUCUUCUUCAAUUUCAUUGAAUUCUUCAACAAUGGCUGCAAUCUCCAGUCUCAAAUCCUCCAUUUCCAUCUCUCAUUCGCUUCACAUACCUUUCAUCGCGCCUUCUUUCCCCAAUUCAACCAAAACCCUCGAAAUUUCCCACUCUCCGAGCUCGCUUCCGAUGAGAAUCACGCUCAAUCACGUUCCGCCAUUGUCGUUAUCUAGAAGAUUGUUCGUUCCUUCAGUCUCUGGAAUUUGGGACGCCUUAACUGGGGGAAACAACCCUCGCGACGCUGUUGCUGCUAUUCGACGUGGAAUGCUUCUCUUUAGGCAGGGCGAUGUUUUGGGAUCUUUAGCAGAAUUCGAUAAGGCAAUUGAAUUGGAUCCUCGUCAAAAGGCAUAUCUUUGGCAAAGAGGGCUUUCACUUUACUACCUUGAUAGAUUUGAAGAGGGAGCUGAGCAGUUCCGACUAGAUGUUGCUCAAAAUCCAAACGACACAGAGGAGUCUAUUUGGUGUUUUCUUUGUGAAGCUCAAUUGUAUGGAGUUGAUGAAGCAAGAAGGCGAUUUCUUGAGGUAGGUAGAGAUUCACGACCCGUCAUGCGGGAAGCUUACAACAUGUUUAAAGAUGGUGGCCAUCCAGAGAAACUUAUUGCUGCCUUCUCAAGUGGCCGUGAGAAUGAAUAUUUUUAUGCCUCUCUAUAUGCUGGGCUUUAUCAUGAAGCAGAGAUGAUAAUCAAACUGCAUUUUAUGUGGAGAUGAGAUGGUACAAGCAUAAUACUUGAUCUGAGCAUAACUUAGCGAAAAAACUGGAUGCAGCCAAACAACAUAUAGUUGCAGCUUGCCAAUCUCCUUAUGGACAGAGGUCUGAUGAUUACAUGGCAGCUCUUACCAGAGUUCACUGCCUUUGUCGAAACUGGAGUUUCAGUUAGUAAGGGUCCAUUUGAUAACGUUUACAUUUCCUGUUUCCUAUUUACUGUUCAUUUUUCAAGAAACAAACUUGUUUGAUAAUUGUUCAUAAAAAAUGAGCACAUUUUGAGAAACUACCUGUUCCGUUUCUAUCUUAUAUUAAACUGUUUAUUUUAUUUAACAAAA